ACACAUGCUGUGAUGCUGUAAUUAACAAUAGAGACUUCCAUUGGAAGAAUGUCCUGGGACCCAACAUUCCAGUCUCGCCCUCUCUGAGGUGGGAAAGACCAGGGUUUGAGACUCUGAAUGAGGUCCAAAUGAACCAUUAACAUAACAUCUGCCCAAAGAAAGUUCCAUUCAAAGGAUAAGGAAGACCAGGCGCAUUAGUCUUCUACCCAGAAUCAAGGGAUGAGAGAAGGAGGACCAGUCCCUCAACCCGCUCUAGUGUCAGCAAGCUGCUGUUGCUCUUGAGAAGUCCUUUGUUACAAAAUCCCGUGGCACGGCUUUCUACAGAGAAUUGCCCCCUUUGAAGAUUUGCCCCAGUGGUCGUCGUGUUAGCUGCUUCGGUGAAGAAAUAAAAAGGCAUGCCUUAGAGGUGGGCAUUUAUGUUUGGUCUCUCUGGUUCAACAGAGUUCUGACACCAAGCUUAGUGUGGUACGUGGAGCAAAGAAGUUGCUGAAUACUUUCUAUGAGCCACUGGAACACUCACCCCACCCCACAACGAUUCUGCUAGCUCGAGCAAUCUAUUGUUCUACGCAGAAAACAAGAAGUGAAAAUGGUAACUCUUGUGAAAAGUUACUCCUUAAAUUAUGCUUUUCCUUUUUUUUCUAUUCUGAAUGAAAUGAAUGGUGUCUGCCCAUAGAAUUUAUUGAUUAACCUGGGGCACCUUUAUUUCCAUUUCUAAAGUGCUACCACAAAAAAGAUGGAAGGAAAUAUGCCAGACAAAAACAAUUGUUUGAAACAAGUUUUGUGGGAACCAUGUCUUUAGGAAAUGAGAUGUUGAACUUAUUUUGGCAAUUUGUAAGUAACUUUUCAAAAUUUUUUUCCACACUCCAUUAUUAUUAAACUGGAGUAGAACUCUUUCCCUUGAGCUAUCAUUUACUAAAAAUCUCCCUGGAAUUUCAGGCAAUUUAGGGAAAUGUAACUUGCAG
rnacentral:lncRNA from 1 species